rnacentral:rRNA from 1 species
AUGAACGCUAGCUACAGGCUUAACACAUGCAAGUCGAGGGGCAGCAUGGUCUUAGCUUGCUAAGGCCGAUGGCGACCGGCGCACGGGUGAGUAACACGUAUCCAACCUGCCGUCUACUCUUGGACAGCCUUCUGAAAGGAAGAUUAAUACAAGAUGGCAUCAUGAGUCCGCAUGUUCACAUGAUUAAAGGUAUUCCGGUAGACGAUGGGGAUGCGUUCCAUUAGAUAGUAGGCGGGGUAACGGCCCACCUAGUCUUCGAUGGAUAGGGGUUCUGAGAGGAAGGUCCCCCACAUUGGAACUGAGACACGGUCCAAACUCCUACGGGAGGCAGCAGUGAGGAAUAUUGGUCAAUGGGCGAGAGCCUGAACCAGCCAAGUAGCGUGAAGGAUGACUGCCCUAUGGGUUGUAAACUUCUUUUAUAAAGGAAUAAAGUCGGGUAUGGAUACCCGUUUGCAUGUACUUUAUGAAUAAGGAUCGGCUAACUCCGUGCCAGCAGCCGCGGUAAUACGGAGGAUCCGAGCGUUAUCCGGAUUUAUUGGGUUUAAAGGGAGCGUAGAUGGAUGUUUAAGUCAGUUGUGAAAGUUUGCGGCUCAACCGUAAAAUUGCAGUUGAUACUGGAUAUCUUGAGUGCAGUUGAGGCAGGCGGAAUUCGUGGUGUAGCGGUGAAAUGCUUAGAUAUCACGAAGAACUCCGAUUGCGAAGGCAGCCUGCUAAGCUGCAACUGACAUUGAGGCUCGAAAGUGUGGGUAUCAAACAGGAUUAGAUACCCUGGUAGUCCACACGGUAAACGAUGAAUACUCGCUGUUUGCGAUAUACAGCAAGCGGCCAAGCGAAAGCGUUAAGUAUUCCACCUGGGGAGUACGCCGGCAACGGUGAAACUCAAAGGAAUUGACGGGGGCCCGCACAAGCGGAGGAACAUGUGGUUUAAUUCGAUGAUACGCGAGGAACCUUACCCGGGCUUAAAUUGCAGAUGAAUUACGGUGAAAGCCGUAAGCCGCAAGGCAUCUGUGAAGGUGCUGCAUGGUUGUCGUCAGCUCGUGCCGUGAGGUGUCGGCUUAAGUGCCAUAACGAGCGCAACCCUUGUUGUCAGUUACUAACAGGUUCCGCUGAGGACUCUGACAAGACUGCCAUCGUAAGAUGUGAGGAAGGUGGGGAUGACGUCAAAUCAGCACGGCCCUUACGUCCGGGGCUACACACGUGUUACAAUGGGGGGUACAGAGGGCCGCUACCACGCGAGUGGAUGCCAAUCCCAAAAACCUCUCUCAGUUCGGACUGGAGUCUGCAACCCGACUCCACGAAGCUGGAUUCGCUAGUAAUCGCGCAUCAGCCACGGCGCGGUGAAUACGUUCCCGGGCCUUGUACACACCGCCCGUCAAGCCAUGGGAGCCGGGGGUACCUGAAGUGCGUAACCGCGAGGAGCGCCCUAGGGUAAAACUGGUGACUGGGGCU